rnacentral:rRNA from 1 species
CGGCGGCCGUAACUAUAACGGUCCUAAGGUAGCGAAAUUCCUUGUCGGGUAAGUUCCGACCUGCACGAAUGGCGUAACGAUCUCCACACUGUCUCGGCCAGAGACUCGGUGAAAUUGCAGUCGCGGUGAAAAUUCCGUGUACCCGCAGAAAGACGGAAAGACCCUGUGCACCUUUACUAUAGCUUGACAUUGGAUUUUGGGCCUGCAUGUGUAGGAUAGGUGGGAGGCUGUGAACCCUGUACGCCAGUAUGGGGGGAGCCAUCCUUGAAAUACCACCCUUGCAUGUUUAAGAUCCUAACUUCUUCCGGUUAUCCCGGAGAAAGACAGUGUCUGGCGGGUAGUUUGACUGGGGCGGUCGCCUCCUAAAGUGUAACGGAGGCAUGCAAAGGUUCCCUCAGCCUGAUCGGAAACCAGGCGCUGAGUGCAAACGCAUAAGGGAGCUUGACUGUAAGAGAGACAUCUCGAACAGGAACGAAAGUUGGCGUUAGUGAUCCGGUGGUCCCGUAUGGAAGGGCCAUCGCUCAUUGGAUAAAAGGUACGCCGGGGAUAACAGGCUGAUCGCAUCCAAGAGUUCACAUCGACGAUGCGGUUUGGCACCUCGAUGUCGGCUCAUCACAUCCUGGGGCUGAAGCAGGUCCCAAGGGUACGGCUGUUCGCCGUUUAAAGUGGUACGCGAGCUGGGUUUAAAACGUCGUGAGACAGUUUGGUCCCUAUCUUCUGUGGGCGAAGGAGAAUUGAGAGGGCCUGUCCCUAGUACGAGAGGACCGGGAUGGACGCACCCCUGGUGAUCCUGUUGUCGCGCCAGCGGCAUAGCAGGGUAGCUAUGUGCGGAAGGGAUAACCGCUGAAAGCAUCUAAGCGGGAAGCCUGCCUCAAGAUAAGUUCUCCCCUCGAAAGAGCUGAAGGGCCCGGGUAGACUACCCGGUCGAUAGGCUGGAGGUGUAAGCGCGGCGACGUGCUCAGCUGACCAGUACUAAUAGCCCGUGCGUCUUGUUUUU